AUGAACGCUAGCUACAGGCUUAACACAUGCAAGUCGAGGGGAAACGACAUCGAAAGCUUGCUUUUGAUGGGCGUCGACCGGCGCACGGGUGAGUAACGCGUAUCCAACCUGCCCAUCACUUGGGGAUAACCUUGCGAAAGUAAGACUAAUACCCAAUGAUAUCUCUAGAAGACAUCUGAAAGAGAUUAAAGAUUUAUCGGUGAUGGAUGGGGAUGCGUCUGAUUAGCUUGUUGGCGGGGUAACGGCUCACCAAGGCGACGAUCAGUAGGGGUUCUGAGAGGAAGGUCCCCCACAUUGGAACUGAGACACGGUCCAAACUCCUACGGGAGGCAGCAGUGAGGAAUAUUGGUCAAUGGACGAGAGUCUGAACCAGCCAAGUAGCGUGCAGGAUGACGGCCCUAUGGGUUGUAAACUGCUUUUAUAAGGGAAUAAAGUGAGUCUCGUGAGACUUUUUGCAUGUACCUUAUGAAUAAGGACCGGCUAAUUCCGUGCCAGCAGCCGCGGUAAUACGGAAGGUCCGGGCGUUAUCCGGAUUUAUUGGGUUUAAAGGGAGCGUAGGCCGGAGAUUAAGCGUGUUGUGAAAUGUAGACGCUCAACGUCUGCACUGCAGCGCGAACUGUUUUCCUUGAGUACGCACAAAGUGGGCGGAAUUCGUGGUGUAGCGGUGAAAUGCUUAGAUAUCACGAAGAACUCCGAUUGCGAAGGCAGCUCACUGGAGCGCAACUGACGCUGAAGCUCGAAAGUGCGGGUAUCGAACAGGAUUAGAUACCCUGGUAGUCCGCACGGUAAACGAUGGAUGCCCGCUGUUGGUCUGAAUAGGUCAGCGGCCAAGCGAAAGCAUUAAGCAUCCCACCUGGGGAGUACGCCGGCAACGGUGAA
rnacentral:rRNA from 1 species